GCCAGGGCAAAAGCAAAUCAGGCAACUAUGACAUCAAACUUGGAAAGUGAGGAAGAGGAUCUGCUACGCAGGCAAAUAAGAACUCCUGCACGAUAUAGAAGGCAAUUGGACAGUGAGAUGAUGAUGAAAACCUUCCAGUAAAAAAGAAACUGCUGACUUCUAGCACGCCCACCUUUACACCAAGAACUGAACUUUUUAGUGACAGAGCUGGACAGAGACUUCCAUUGGGUCUGUCCACAGAUGUCCCACAGUCAGAGGCUACUGUGUACUCAGGGGCUAACUUGCUCAUGAAAAUUCUGAACUGAAGAGGGUGGAGCGGGCCAUAUUUGUUCGUUUGGACAACAUUGAACAGAAGCUUUUAAAUCUCGAAAGCA